AGCCUGAACGAGCGACACCGCGUGCGCGAUGAAGGCCUUCGGGUUGUAAAGCGCGAAAGUGGGGAUAAAGCCGAAAGGUUGAUAGAUCCACAGUAAGGACGGGCUAAGUUCGUGCCAGCAGCCGCGGUAAGACGAACUGUCCUAACGUUGUUCGGAAUCACUGGGCUUAAAGGGCGCGUAGGCGGUCCGACAAGUCAGGGGUGAAAUCCUGCAGCUUAACUGCAGAAGUGCCUUUGAUACUGUCGGUCUUGAGGGAGAUAGGGGUGUGCGGAACUUCCAGUGGAGCGGUGAAAUGCGUUGAUAUUGGAAGGAACGCCGGAGGCGAAAGCGGCGCACUGGAUCUCUUCUGACGCUGAGGCGCGAAAGCUAGGGGAGCAAACGGGAUUAGAUACCCCGGUAGUCCUAGCCCUAAACGAUGAGUACUAGAUUGUAGACUUACA
rnacentral:rRNA from 1 species